CCCUGCCCCUGAAGCAACCCCCCACCACCAGCUCCUGAUGGGACCUGGGGCUGGGGUGGUGCUGGUGAGCUUUGCUCUCUUCCGCCCCGGCUUAGCAGACAGCCCUUGGGCUCGCCUCCAGCCUGAACACACGCAGGGCAUCCAUCUCUGCCUCGUUUCCUCAGUUACAGGUUUGUGUUGUGCUUUAAACCCUGUAAUGUUUGGUGAAAUGCGGCAGAUUUGGGCUCCUGAAGUUAGAACGCUGGAUCGCUCAGUCGUGUCCGACUCUUUGCAACCCCCCUGCACCGUAGGCCACCAGGCUCCCCCGUCCAUGGGACUCUCCCGGCAAGAAUACUGGAGUGGGUUGCCAUUUCCUCCUCCAGAGUUGGAAUUAGAAUGGAGAAAACUGAAACGUCCCUGGCGGUCCAGUGGGUUAAGACGUUGCCUUCCAGUGCAGGAGUGGCCGGUUCCGGUCUUGAUCAGGGAGCUAAGAUCACACUUGCCUUGCAGCUGAAAACAACAACAACAACACACAAAAAAAACAAACCAAAGUAUAAAACAGAAGAAGUAUUGUAACAAAUUCAAUAAAGAAUUUUAAAAUGGUCCA
ensembl:lncRNA